rnacentral:rRNA from 1 species
GGAUUAGAUACCCUGGUAGUCCACGCUGUAAACGAUGAUCACUCGAUGUACACGCUAGUCGUGUGUGUCUAAGCGAAAGCAUUAAGUGAUCCACCUGGGAAGUACGCUCGCAAGAGUGAAACUCAAAGGAAUUGACGGGAGUCCGCACAAGCGGUGGAGCAUGUGGUUUAAUUCGAUGAUACGCGAGGAACCUUACCUGGGCUCGAAUGUCUCUGCUACCUCGAGAAAUCGAGGGUUCCUUCGGGACAGAGUACAAGGUGCUGCAUGGCUGUCGUCAGCUCGUGCCG